UAUAUAUAUAUAUAUAUAUAUAUAUAUAUAUAUAUAUAUUGGCUUAACUAGAAGAUGUGGGACUUGGUAGCUUGCUUUUCAAUGUAUGUGAAUCUUAGUUGGGUGCUUUGGUUCUGUAAAAUAAGAAUGAAAAUCCAUGUUUUUUGCCUUUGUUGCAUUACAUGAUCCAUAUAUACUAGGUUGUUUUUAUUUGGUAAUUGUAUUCUGAUCUGUGGAAUCUUUGAAUGGAAGAAUUUACAUAACAGGAUACCUAUA